rnacentral:rRNA from 1 species
AACGAACGCUGGCGGCAUGCCUAACACAUGCAAGUCGAACGAGACCUUCGGGUCUAGUGGCGCACGGGUGCGUAACGCGUGGGAACCUGCCCUUAGGUUCGGAAUAACUCCCCGAAAGGGGUGCUAAUACCGGAUAAUGUCUUCGGACCAAAGAUUUAUCGCCUUUGGACGGGCCCGCGUUGGAUUAGCUAGUUGGUAGGGUAAAAGCCUACCAAGGCGACGAUCCAUAGCUGGUCUGAGAGGAUGAUCAGCCACACUGGGACUGAGACACGGCCCAGACUCCUACGGGAGGCAGCAGUGGGGAAUAUUGGACAAUGGGCGAAAGCCUGAUCCAGCAAUGCCGCGUGAGUGAUGAAGGCCUUAGGGUUGUAAAGCUCUUUUACCCGGGAUGAUAAUGACAGUACCGGGAGAAUAAGCUCCGGCGAACUCCGU